rnacentral:rRNA from 1 species
UACGUAGGGUGCAAGCGUUGUCCGGAAUUAUUGGGCGUAAAGAGCUCGUAGGCGGCUUGGCAAGUCGGGUGUGAAACCUCCAGGCUCAACCUGGAGACGCCACCCGAGACUGCUAUGGCUAGAGUCCGGUAGGGGAUCACGGAAUUCCUGGUGUAGCGGUGAAAUGCGCAGAUAUCAGGAGGAACACCGGUGGCGAAGGCGGUGAUCUGGGCCGGCACUGACGCUGAGGAGCGAAAGCGUGGGUAGCAAACAGG